UACGUAGGGGGAAAGCGUUGUCGGGAUUUAUUGGGCGUAAAGCGCGCGCAGGCGGUCUCUUAAGUCUGAUGUGAAAGCCCACGGCUCAACCGUGGAAGGUCAUUGGAAACUGGGAGACUUGAGUGUAGGAGAGGAAAGUGGAAUUCCACGUGUAGCGGUGAAAUGCGUAGAGAUGUGGAGGAACACCAGUGGCGAAGGCGACUUUCUGGCCUAUAACUGACGCUGAGGCGAGAAAGCGUGGGGAGCAAACAGG
rnacentral:rRNA from 1 species